UACGAGGGGUCCAAGCGUUGUUCGGAAUCACUGGGCGUAAAGCGGGUGUAGGUGGCUCUAUAAGUCACAUGUGAAAGCCCCGGGCUCAACCCGGGAAGUGCAUGUGAUACUGCAGAGCUUGAGUACGGGAGAGGAUGGCAGAAUUCCUGGUGUAGUGGUGAAAUACGUAGAUAUCAGGAGGAACUCCGGUGGCGAAGGCGGCCAUCUGGCCCAGUACUGACACUCAGACCCGAAAGCGUGGGUAGCAAACAGG
rnacentral:rRNA from 1 species